UCUUUUGUUACUACAGAAGGAUGAUUAAGUAAUGAUUAUUUUGUUUAGUUGGCAACUUGGAUCUCAUGAAAUGGCAUUCUCUGUCAACAUUUUGUCUGUAGCAUUUAAUGUAUAUCUCUAGUAGAAUGUUUAUGCACAUGUUAUUUGCAGUUUCUAGCUGACAUUAUGUUUUAUGCAAUAGUGGUUAACCUUUAGUUCUAGAGUAAAGAAAUUAAUGAUAAACAAUAUUACUAGAUACUCAAGAGUAUGCACGAUUAAAAGAAAUUGCCUUAAACAUGUAAACAAUGAUGAAAUUUCCACCAAAAAUACGGGAUUUUGAAAACCAGUAUUCUACUGAAUCAACCUUGCCAAUGAACAUAUAUACAAGUAAUGGUAGUAGUGUAGUUAUUGUAAAUUGUGUGAUGACUGUUUGUAUUUGAAGCCAUUUUUUUUUACGUUUUUACGUGAAUCAAUAUAUGACAACAACACCUGUGUCGGCCAUAACCUCGGAAAAGCUUUAGAUAUACACACAUAGAAGAUGAACACUUAUUUUGAGAAAAAUGGUAAAAAGAUGCUCAUGGGGGACAUGUUAUUCUGAUACAAGGUAUCUAGAUAUGAUAAUUAAUGUACCUUUCCUGCCAUUUCCAAAACAACCAAAGACAAAUUAAGAUGCUUGUUUGAGAUGGAUUAAGGCAUGUGGGAGACCUGUGGAACAACUUAAUGUUAAUAAAAUAGUAAGAGACACAUAUGCUUGUUCAAAGGUAUGUAAUAUUUUUGUUAAUAUUUGUAAACAAUUAUUUACAUCAUUAAUAUCUGUUCUCAAUAAAAACACGUGAUUAACUGAUAGACAUGAUAGAUUGAUCUGAAUGAGAUAGAGUACUUUGAUAACGAAAGCAAAUAUAGGAAAACUUAAGUCUCAACACUUAUUUGAUAAGCUUAUUUGUAAAUCAAACGUUAUAGAUAACCAGUUAUUAGUCAUCUAUUUUUAUUUUCAUAAUAAACAGAAUAAACAUUAUUUUUUCAGCACUUUGUUGUUUGAAUGCAGAUCCUUUUCCUGCAACUGUUUGCCAGGUAUAUGAAGCCAGAGUAAAAUCGAGGAAAAGAAAAUAUGUUGAAUUAGAACAAAAUAGUGCAGAACCCUCCUGUAGUGUACCAGAAGUUAUGUGUAUUAAUCCAAUCAUACUGUCUAGUAAUGAAAAUGACAAAGAUAUUCAAACUGAUGAAAUUGUUUAUACAGUUUGGAUUUGAUUGCACAUACUUCAGCAAUAAAGAAUUUGGAAGAAGAAAAGGAUUUGGAAGAAGGAAAGUGAAGACCUAAAGAUGCAAUUAACAAGUUGUGUUAAGGAGGAUUUCAAACUAAAGAGCAAAAGAUCACCAGCAAAGAAACACAAACAAGUUGUGCAUAAUAAAGAGUUUUCAGCAGAAAUAGUGGCAAAUUAAAAUAUAAAGAAACUUUUCGAGUAUUAUACUGGAUUACCAUAUGUAAAAUUCAUUAUGUUAGUACAGUUUUUAUUUCCAGAAGAAGGAAUAAAUCCAGUAAAUUACAAAGAAAAAAAAAAAGAAGUCAAAGCAAUGCUCCUCACUGACCAGCUAUUCUUAGUGUUGUGUCGUUUAAGAAAUGGACUUCACAUAAAGGACUUAGCAUACAGAUUCCAUAUAAAACCACAAAAUGUUAGUGUAAUGUUCAAGAGUGUUAUCCAUUAAAUGUAACUUAAAUUGGGAUAUUUGUCAUACUGGCCCCACAGAGAUACCAUAAUACAGAAUAUGCCACAAAAAUACAAACAAGAGUUUCCAACAUGCCUUGCAAUUAUAAACUGUGCAGAAUUAAAAACAAAAAAACCUUCAUCACUCAAGUCACAGAGUCAGUGCUAUUCAGACUACAAGUCUUCACAUUGAAAUCUUUGGUGGUUACAGAUCCAAGAAGUUCUGUCAUAUUUGUAUCAGAUUUAUUUUCUGGAUCUAUUUCAGACAAUGACAUUUGCAAGGAAAGUGGAUUUUACAAGUUGCUACAGCAAUUAAAAGAUUAGGGUUAUCUUCAAGACAACGAUGGGAUAAUGGCAGACAAAGGAUUUCGUAUAGAAAAACAGCUUGGUGAAUUACAUUUAAGACUAAAUAUUCCACCUUUUGCAUCAACUGCAACACAAAUGCCUUCUGGUGAUGUUGCACUUACCCGCAAACGUUCAAUUAAAGAAAUAAAAAAAUUCAAAAUGGCUAAUAGAAGAAUUCCAGGAACUUUAUUGAUAACAUAAAUGAAAUAUGGACUAUAUAUUCCUUAUUAACAAAUUUUCAGGACACUCUUAUCAAAAUGUAAUGAAUAUUUUAUUUACAGGUAAAGGAAAUUAAAAUAUGUCUGAACUUCUGAUUAUAUUUUACUUACAUGAAAAUACAGUAAGGACCCAGUCUGAACUUUGCCCAGCUUUGUAUCGAUUGUGGUUGCAUUUUCUUGCAGUAAAUAACUCAGUGGAAUGUCAUCAUCUUCCUUGAGUCUUAAAAUUGCACUUGUUGAUGAACCUGGUAAAUCAACCUGUGAAAUUUCUGUAAAAAGUGGUUUUCUUUUUCUCUCUAAAGAAGGUGUUGUUGGAUUUGCCAGAGUCAUUGAAACUACAGGUUGUGCUUUUAUUUUCCUCCCCCUUGGUGUGUGCCAUUGCUUUGCCAAACAUGUUGCAGAUAGCUCUGAUGGUACCUCUUUUAAGCUUAAAUUCUGGUAGUGAGAAAUUGUAUGUACUAACCAAACAACAUGGGAACAAGUACCAGAUAAACUGAAAAUGAAGAAAGAAGCUUUUAUUAAUUCUGGUAUAUCAUAUUAUUUAUUUUCAUAUUUAUCUUUUUGAUUUCAUGAUAGAAUGGAUUGAUUAUACAAUCAUUAAAUGAAGAUAGAUAUAAUCACAUCUUUGCCAAUUAUCAAUACACAAAUAAAACAACAUGAACAAGUGUUUCAUUGAGCGUAAAUUGACCAGUUUACAUGCUGUGCCAUAAAUCUUUGAUAUGUAUCUUAUCUAAAAAGUGUCCUUAUUUGAUUAUUUUAUCAUGUGGAGUAUGACACCACAUGCAAUCAUGUAUAUUUUAAUUAAUUACAUACCCUGCUACACAUGUAAAAUUGCUGUCUGAUAUAAUCUUCUCAUCUUUCAACACUGUAAUCUAAUGUUUACUUUGUGUGGAGCUUCAUUUUUCCUCAUUGACCGGUAACAUUUGGAUUUAAUAUCUACUUCAUUUGCACUAAUUUCACACAAAUUUAUACUAUGAAUGUAAUCAAGGGUAAAAUAAUUAUAACCUUGGUCGUAUGGUCUCUGUUAAUGUUUUAUCCUUAAAAUAAUCAAGAUUAAUAUUGUGUAGCAACACAUCUAACUUCGAAGUAACCGCCAUUUUGUAGAUCGUUUGUCCGAGGAUGCUGGGUUGCCAUGUGUUGCUAUGAUGGGUGGGUUUAUCUCAGAUUAGUGGAUAGUUGUAUGCAUUGGUACGCUAAACAAUUAUUUUUUUUAUUUGCGCCAUUUUAAAAUGACCAUUAAAAACCGUAAUCAUUUGAGGAAACAACAGGUAAAUGGUGUUUAAAUAUAAACACUGUACAUGAAAUAAAAUGACAUACUUAUCACUGAUUUGAAACUCUCGUGCAUGCGAUAAAAGAAUGUAAAAUGGAUUAUAUGCAUACCAAGGAAAACCAAGGAAAUUAGUUAUGUGUGAUGGUCAUUCAUUUUGGCAAUAAAAAUUGAACUUCUUUUUGAAAAAAAAACCAGUUUUAUGGAAGAGGUGAAAUAAUACGGUCACUGUGCAAUAGAACUGUUGCUUACAAAUAUAAAAUACACUUAUACUGUUCUAAAUCCAACUUCCAACAAGGGGACAGAUGAUAGACUAAACGGGUAAAAGCUAUAUAAACCAAAUUAAUAACCUAUGUUUCCCAUGUGUUUACUUGUAUUAUGAUAGGCGCUAGUAAAACAUUUUAAUGGCGCAAAUGAAAAAAAACAUAUUGGCACAAAAUUAAAAAAAAAAUAUAUUGGGGGGCAAAGUAAAAACGCCGUUGUGGUCCUAUUGAGCAAAAGUGCGUCAAUGUAAAUAGCUGGAGACUUUGGUUUUUUAUUAUUUGAAAAGUAUUGGUAAAUAUUUUCACUAUCUUCAUGUAUUUUGAUGUACAUACGAUGACGUUAAAAUUAAUUCUUUGUGCUACUAAUGCAAUAUUAUGUUUUUAAAUUCAAGGACACUGUCUUUUAUUAUGACUUACCGAAUGUAAAGCGACUCAUGUUUAUCUAUUUCAGUGACAAUACUUUAUUGACAGUAAUUUAUUCUAAUUAACAAGUUAUCAUAAGAUAUAUUUAUAUAGGAAAACAUUGAGGAACUUUGUUAUGUAUAAUUUCUUAGUAUUUUAAAAAUUAAAAAUGAUUAACACAAAAAUUAUCCAUUGAUAAGUAAGCAUAUAAAACACUGCCAUCUCCUUUGAGGGAUAUUAAUUAUUUGAUAUCUAAUAAAUAUGUCUUUGAUUUUUACAUAAGGAUUAUCAUUAAUGUUUAUUUUCUAUUGCUGUCAUGAAAUUGCAUUUCAUUGUCCAUGUUGUCCAUUUGCCUUUUUAAGAGCUAUACAUAUGUCGUUUUUGCAAAUUUCGCUGUUCACAUUCCCGUUUAUCAUUUAUCGUUCAUUUCAUAGUACAAUGUUAAUGCCUAUGUUACUUGCAUUUUCUAUAUAAAAAAGAAGAUGUGGUAUGAUUGCCAAUGAGACAACUCUCCACAAGAGACCAAACGACACAGAAAUUAACAACUAUAGGUCACCGUACGGCCUUCAACAAUGAGCAAAGCCCAUAUCACACAGUCAGCUAUAAAAGUUGACUUUAUUUUGAGUCUCGAGUAAACAUUUGAGGUUGAAUUAUUUUACUAAGUACUCAAGACUGUGGACGAUUUAGAAAAAAAAAUGAUGCCUGAAAAAUGAUCAAAAUUUUACAAACAAUUGGAGAUUUUCCAAACAAUUACUUUUAGCAAAUCAGUAUCCUACUAAAUCAACGUGGUCAUUGUAACUAUAUAUAAGUAAUUGCAGUUGUGUAAUAUGUGUGAUGUCUGUGUUUAUUGAAAGCCAAAUUUUACAUAUUUGCAGGCACAUCUACAGCACUGGCAACUACCGCAGAAAUAAAGAACAAAACAGGCAAAGAUAAAAGUCAAAUACCAAUAUCAUCGAUCAUAGUCAUCAGCACAGUUUUGAUAUUACUACUAUGUAUCGCUCUCAUUUGGGUUUUCUGGAAACAUGAAGUACUUUUGAAGAAGAGAGACAAAAAUACAGAUCGCUCCAACACAAUACAUUCCAACGUAUCUGUAAACCAAUCGCAACUUGGAGAAACGCACGAAAACGGGGGAGUAGAGGAUGGAAUUUUGCCAUGUUCUGUACAAUCUAACACAGACACCAGUUUAAUACAUGCACAAGAAACCAGUUACAUACAUACACAUGAGAACACAGUUUAUUUCAUAAAACCAGAAGGAGUAGUUUGAAAAGUCGAUAACGAUAGCAGACAAAAUUGGACUGAACUAUUUUUUAAUGUUUGUUAGUUUAAGGUUUCAUUGCAAAAAAAAACCCGCCAGUUCAUCAAAUCUUGCAGAUAGCUGUCAAAAUUUUAUUAAAGGAGAUUUGUUUCAUUUAUUAAACAAUGUGUUGGAACUGUAAAAAAGCAAGUCAUUCCAGUCAAAAUUAUAAUACUCAAAUUAUUUAUAAUUUAUAAUGAUGAAUAAGGGACAUAUGCUGGUUAUAAACGAAUGUGCAAAUUAAAACAAUGAAGUAUUCAUUACGUACAUAGGAAUAUAUCCACAAUCACGUCAUAUAGACAUGUUGUAUUUAGAAACUCUUAUAAUUUACACAUUGUUAGGCGGUUACAUAGUCUAAACUAAAUUCGUACUAAUGUUG